rnacentral:rRNA from 1 species
CACGCCGUAAACGAUGAGUACUAAGUGUCGGAAUAAUUCGGUGCUGUAGUUAACGCAAUAAGUACUCCGCCUGAGUAGUACGUGCGCAAGCAUGAAACUCAAAGGAAUUGACGGGACCCCGCACAAGCGGUGGAUCAUGUUGUUUAAUUCGAAGAUACGCGAAGAACCUUACCAGGCCUUGACAUACUCUGCAAAGCUAUAGAGAUAUAGCAGAGGUUAUCAGAUGUACAGGUGG